UCACUAGGUAGGUGCUCUUUCUCCUCUAGU
rnacentral:piRNA from 1 species